rnacentral:lncRNA from 1 species
CCAUUAUCUGAUUUUCUGUUUGGGUGACACAAUUGCUUAUUUGACAAUUGAAGUAAAUUACAUUAUAAUAAUCAUAAUCUUUCUGAACACUAAUAUUUCCUACAAGUAAUACCUAAGAGCACAUGACAUAUGCAGUGACAUUUCUUUUGGGAUGACAAGAAUUUUCAGACCAGUCCAAAACAUAAGUAUCAAGUCCAGUAAUAUUAUAUCUCACAGAGGCAUCCGCCACACAUCUCUUCCAUGGAAUAGUCUUAUUGGAGCAUUAAAAGUCUGAGGCACUACACCAGUGGUCUCUAUACCCACAGGUAGAUGUAGAUGGACUCCAGUGAUCCCGCCUUUGCAUUGAUCUACCUGCCUUCCUGUCAGGGUGCGAGCGCUCAGUCUUAUACAAUCAGUUCUGUUGAUUUUGAAGAAACAUAUGGGGGUUCCGGUUUCUGAUCCCGUAUAGUUGAACAAUAGGACCUCGUUCUUGUCAGGUGCCGCCGUCUCAUCCAACAGCCUGGUAUUGUUCACCCAUACCAUUACUUCUCCAUUUUUUGAGCUCAUUGGAUGUACAACAGGUGGAUCAGGUACAUAAGUCCAAUAAACCUUCUCAUUCAGCGUCAUCAUUAGAUUUAUCAGCAGGACAGUUGUCAGGAUCAUCCUAAGGGGCAGGAGAAUUUCCCGCAAAACGGACUCAUCUUUCAGGCAGCCACCUGGCACCUUCAGCGUCCUGCGGGAAAACACAAACAUGCCCUCGUCCCCAUAUUAAUACCAGGUCGGGGCCACUCCAUACACCCGUGAGGGGAUCUUUCCACCUCACUUGAGCAUAUGAUGAUUUAGUUUUAGGAUGCCACAGCCUUUCUGCUGCAGUCAAUCCAUAAGCAUCCACAAUUUCCCUUUGCCAGGGGUCCAGGAAGCCCAGAAUGAGCGCUAAUGUGACCCACAUAACAAGGACAGGUGCAGGCAUGUAUGCACCAUUGUAUCUGAGCAAAGUAAUUGAUUGGCGAGGUCUGCAUAUUGCCCUUCUCCUGCCAGCAUGUCAUAAUCAGUACCAUUUCUAUUAGCCCAAUUUAAUUCAGCUGUUCUUUAACACUGCUUGGAAAAUUCUGUUUUCCAAAGGAGGUAAUCUCCCCCAGACAGGCAUGCUUUAGCAAGCUGUUUCCAAUCUCCAGGAGGCAGCGCCUCUGUGCUCAACGAUUCUAACGUAGCCUGAGUAAAAGACGCCGAAUCAGCCCGCUGCAGACAGGCAGGUCUGUGCACGCCCUACCAAGGUCCUGAGUCACGUGGAAGACACCGAAUCACCCCACUGCAGACACGCAGCCACCUGAUUCCACAUUACCAAGGCGCAGAGGACACCAGACCACCAGACCAAGGUACUGAGUCCCACUGUUCCCGGCCCAGAGGUAGGGGCUUCUGAGCCGUCGUCCCACUGCUCCUGGUCCAGAGGAAGGGGCUUCCCGGUCCCCAUC